UUUGGUGGCGAUAGCGAAGAGGUCACACCCGUUCCCAUGCCGAACACGGAAGUUAAGCUCUUCAGCGCCGAUGGUAGUCGGGGGUUUCCCCCUGUGAGAGUAGGACGCCGCCACGC
rnacentral:rRNA from 1 species